rnacentral:rRNA from 1 species
GCUCUACCUUAAUUUCUCUAUUACACCAAACAAAGUACUAAAUUUAAGAGCUAUUCAAAUAAGGCACAGCUUAUUUGAAACGGGGUACAACCCCUAAUACUGGGUUCAUCUACAAACACUAAAUAAAGUAGGCCUAAAAGCAGCCAUCUUCCAAAAAGCGUUAAAGCUUAAUAUACCCGUAUCUAUGAUACCAUAAUUUUUACUCAACCCUUCACUACUACUGAACUAUUUUAUACCUUUAUAAAAGUUAUUAUGCUAGAACUAGUAACAAGAAAUUGCCUUUCUCCAAAAUGUAUGUUUAAGCCAAAAUGGACCCUCCACUGGUAAUUAACGCAAAUGUAAAUAUCAUAGUACCACAUGACUAGAAAACCCUAUGAUUCCUCAGCGUCAACCUUACACUAGAACAUUCCAGGAAAGAUUAAAAGAGAAAGAAGGAACUCGGCAAAUCACAGUCCCGCCUGUUUACCAAAAACAUCGCCUCUUGCCUAAAUAUAAGAGGUCUAGCCUGCCCAGUGACAUAGUUUAACGGCCGCGGUACCCUAACCGUGCAAAGGUAGCAUAAUCACUUGUUCCUUAAAUAGGGACUCGUAUCAACGGCAUCACGAGGGCUGUACUGUCUCCUUUCUCCAAUCAGUGAAACUGAUCUCCCCGUGAAGAAGCGGGGAUAAACCUAUAAGACGAGAAGACCCCAUGGAGCUUUAAACCCAUCGCACACCUCUACGCACUCAAAUCAGUAUAGCCUAAGAAGCUUGUGCGUUGGUUUUAGGUUGGGGGGACCGCGGAGUAAAAUUAAACCUCCACGACAGACGGGCUAAUACCCUUAUCCAUGAACCACAAUUCUAAGAGCCAAUAAAUUGUUGUCUAAUGACCCAAUUACUUGAUCAACGAACCAAGUUACCCUGGGGAUAACAGCGCAAUCUACUUCAAGAGCCCCUAUCGACAAGUAGGUUUACGACCUCGAUGUUGGAUCAGGGUAUCCUAGUGGUGCAGCCGCUACUAAAGGUUCGUUUGUUCAACGAUUAAAACCCUACGUGAUCUG